UACGGAGGGUGCAAACGUUGCUCGGAAUCAUUGGGCGUAAAGCGCACGUAGGCGGCUCGUUAAGUCGGAUGUGAAAGCCCCGGGCUCAACCCGGGAAGUGCAUUCGAAACUGGCGAGCUUGAGUAUGGAAGAGGGUCGCGGAAUUCCCGGUGUAGAGGUGAAAUUCGUAGAUAUCGGGAGGAACACCAGUGGCGAAGGCGGCGACCUGGGCCAUUCCUGACGCUGAGACGCGAAAGCUAGGGGAGCGAACAGG
rnacentral:rRNA from 1 species